GCUGCAAACAUUGGGAUCAGCCGUGACUAUCCCAUAACAUAAUAUUUCUGAUUUCAUUCUUUUCCUUUCUCCUACCAAUUUAAUCUGCAAUCACUUCAAGAGAAGUCUGUUUAAAGGAUAUUCACAUUCUGUUCACAGAGUUUGAGAGAAACUGUAUUCAAGUUGCUGAAACCAAGAAGCUACACUCACGAGUCUCACCUAAACUCGAAUCUGAUUUAGAUGACAUCAUCCUGGACUUUGAGUUGAUGAAACCUUGGAGGUCUUGGGAGUAAAGCAAGUGUGAUUUGCAUAUGAUGGAUAUGAAUUGUAAUGGCCAGAGCAUGGCUGUGAGAUGAAAACUCCCAUUUUAGGGAACCAAGACUGAAUUCCAUAAUUUACAUGGAUGUUUGGAAGGUGUCUGCAACUUAAUCUGUGUUCGUUUCUGAGAUGUUGGGCAACUCCUUCUUGGAAGAUGUGGUAAUGGUCUCUUCGAAAAGAAAAUAAUCAUCUGAGUUUUGGCCAAAAUAGUUGAUCGGAUUACCUAUGAAAAUGACUCUCACCCAACUACAAGAAU
rnacentral:lncRNA from 1 species